rnacentral:rRNA from 1 species
GUUAGGAAUAUUGGACAAUGGGCGCAAGCCUGAUCCAGCCAUGCCGCGUGAACGAUGAAGGCCUUCGGGUUGUAAAGUUCUUUAGCCGAUGAUUAUAAUGACUGUAGUCGGAAAAUAAGCCCCGGCUAACUUCGUGCCAGCAGCCGCGGUAAUACGAAGGGGGCGAGCGUUAUUCGGAAUCACUGGGCGUAAAGCGUGCGUAGGCGGUCUCGUAAGUUAGGAGUGAAAGCCCAGGGCUCAACCUUGGAAUUGCUCUUAAUACUGCAAGGAUAGAAUCUCGGAGAGGAUAGCGGAAUUUCCAGUGUAGCAGUGAAAUGCGUAGAUAUUGGAAGGAACACCAGUGGCGUAAGCGGCUAUCUGGACGAGUAUUGACGCUGAGGCACGAAAGCGUGGGGUUCAAACAGGAUUAGAUACCCCGGUAGUCC